rnacentral:rRNA from 1 species
AAAUUGAAGAGUUUGAUCAUGGCUCAGAUUGAACGCUGGCGGCAGGCCUAACACAUGCAAGUCGAGCGGUAGCACAGAGAGCUUGCUCUCGGGUGACGAGCGGCGGACGGGUGAGUAAUGUCUGGGAAACUGCCUGAUGGAGGGGGAUAACUACUGGAAACGGUAGCUAAUACCGCAUAAUGUCGCAAGACCAAAGUGGGGGACCUUCGGGCCUCAUGCCAUCAGAUGUGCCCAGAUGGGAUUAGCUAGUAGGUGGGGUAACGGCUCACCUAGGCGACGAUCCCUAGCUGGUCUGAGAGGAUGACCAGCCACACUGGAACUGAGACACGGUCCAGACUCCUACGGGAGGCAGCAGUGGGGAAUAUUGCACAAUGGGCGCAAGCCUGAUGCAGCCAUGCCGCGUGUGUGAAGAAGGCCUUCGGGUUGUAAAGCACUUUCAGCGGGGAGGAAGGCGUUAAGGUUAAUAACCUUGGCGAUUGACGUUACCCGCAGAAGAAGCACCGGCUAACUCCGUGCCAGCAGCCGCGGUAAUACGGAGGGUGCAAGCGUUAAUCGGAAUUACUGGGCGUAAAGCGCACGCAGGCGGUCUGUCAAGUCGGAUGUGAAAUCCCCGGGCUCAACCUGGGAACUGCAUUCGAAACUGGCAGGCUAGAGUCUUGUAGAGGGGGGUGGAAUUCCAGGUGUAGCGGUGAAAUGCGUAGAGAUCUGGAGGAAUACCGGUGGCGAAGGCGGCCCCCUGGACAAAGACUGACGCUCAGGUGCGAAAGCGUGGGGAGCAAACAGGAUUAGAUACCCUGGUAGUCCACGCCGUAAACGAUGUCGAUUUGGAGGUUGUGCCCUUGAGGCGUGGCUUCCGGAGCUAACGCGUUAAAUCGACCGCCUGGGGAGUACGGCCGCAAGGUUAAAACUCAAAUGAAUUGACGGGGGCCCGCACAAGCGGUGGAGCAUGUGGUUUAAUUCGAUGCAACGCGAAGAACCUUACCUGGUCUUGACAUCCACAGAACUUAGCAGAGAUGCUUUGGUGCCUUCGGGAACUGUGAGACAGGUGCUGCAUGGCUGUCGUCAGCUCGUGUUGUGAAAUGUUGGGUUAAGUCCCGCAACGAGCGCAACCCUUAUCCUUUGUUGCCAGCGGUUAGGCCGGGAACUCAAAGGAGACUGCCAGUGAUAAACUGGAGGAAGGUGGGGAUGACGUCAAGUCAUCAUGGCCCUUACGACCAGGGCUACACACGUGCUACAAUGGCAUAUACAAAGAGAAGCGACCUCGCGAGAGCAAGCGGACCUCAUAAAGUAUGUCGUAGUCCGGAUUGGAGUCUGCAACUCGACUCCAUGAAGUCGGAAUCGCUAGUAAUCGUAGAUCAGAAUGCUACGGUGAAUACGUUCCCGGGCCUUGUACACACCGCCCGUCACACCAUGGGAGUGGGUUGCAAAAGAAGUAGGUAGCUUAACCUUCGGGAGGGCGCUUACCACUUUGUGAUUCAUGACUGGGGUGAAGUCGUAACAAGGUAACCGUAGGGGAACCUGCGGUUGGAUCACCUCCUUACCUUAAAGAA